rnacentral:rRNA from 1 species
AGACAUGCAGUCGCGCGGAUUGAUGGGAGCUUGCUCCCUGAUAUCAGCGGCGGACGGGUGAGUAACACGUGGGUAACCUGCCUGUAAGACUGGGAUAACUCCGGGAAACCGGGGCUAAUACCGGAUAACUCAUUUCCUCGCAUGAGGAAAUGUUGAAAGAUGGCUUCUGCUAUCACUUACAGAUGGACCCGCGGCGCAUUAGCUAGUUGGUGAGGUAACGGCUCACCAAGGCGACGAUGCGUAGCCGACCUGAGAGGGUGAUCGGCCACACUGGGACUGAGACACGGCCCAAACUCCUACGGGAGGCAGCAGUAGGGAAUCUUCCGCAAUGGACGAAAGUCUGACGGAGCAACGCCGCGUGAGUGAUGAAGGUUUUCGGAUCGUAAAGCUCUGUUGUUAGGGAAGAACAAGUGCCGUUCGAAUAGGGCGGCACCUUGACGGUACCUAACCAGAAAGCCACGGCUAACUACGUGCCAGCAGCCGCGGUAAUACGUAGGUGGCAAGCGUUGUCCGGAAUUAUUGGGCGUAAAGCGCGCGCAGGUGGUUUCUUAAGUCUGAUGUGAAAGCCCACGGCUCAACCGUGGAGGGUCAUUGGAAACUGGGGAACUUGAGUGCAGAAGAGGAAAGUGGAAUUCCAAGUGUAGCGGUGAAAUGCGUAGAUAUUUGGAGGAACACCAGUGGCGAAGGCG